CCUACGGGAGGCAGCAGUGGGGAAUAUUGGGCAAUGGGCGCAAGCCUGACCCAGCAACGCCGCGUGAAGGAAGAAGGCUUUCGGGUUGUAAACUUCUUUUGACAGAGAAGAGUAGAAGACGGUACCUGUCGAAUAAGCCAUGGCUAACUACGUGCCAGCAGCCGCGGUAAUACGUAGGUGGCAAGCGUUGUCCGGAUUGACUGGGUGUAAAGGGCGUGUAGCCGGGUUGACAAGUCAGAUGUGAAAUCUUGCGGCUUAACCGCAGAACUGCAUUUGAAACUGUUGAUCUUGAGUACUGGAGAGGCAGACGGAAUUCCUGGUGUAGCGGUGAAAUGCGUAGAUAUUAGGAGGAACACCGGUGGCGAAGGCAGUCUGCUGGACAGCAACUGACGGUGAGGCGCGAAAGCGUGGGGAGCAAACAGGAUUAGAUACCCCGGUAGUC
rnacentral:rRNA from 1 species